UACGGGGGUGGCAAGCGUUGUUCGGAAUUACUGGGCGUAAAGGGCUCGUAGGUGGCCAACUAAGUCGGACGUGAAAUCCCUCGGCUUAACCGGGGAACUGCGUCCGAUACUGGUUGGCUUGAGUUUGGGAGAGGGAUGCGGAAUUCCAGGUGUAGCGGUGAAAUGCGUAGAUAUCUGGAGGAACACAGGUGGCGAAGGCGGCAUCCUGGACCAAUACUGACGCUGAGGAGCGAAAGCCAGGGGAGCAAACGGG
rnacentral:rRNA from 1 species